rnacentral:rRNA from 1 species
AUACGGAGGAUCCGAGCGUUAUCCGGAUUUAUUGGGUUUAAAGGGAGCGUAGGCGGGAGAUCAAGUCAGCUGUGAAAUGUAGAUGCUCAACAUCUGCACUGCAGUUGAAACUGGUUUUCUUGAGUGCGUAAGGGGCAGGCGGAAUUCGGCGUGUAGCGGUGAAAUGCUUAGAUAUGGCGAAGAACUCCGAUCGCGAAGGCAGCCUGCCGGGCCGCGACUGACGCUGAAGCUCGAAGGUGCGGGUAUCGAACAGGAUUAGAUACCCUGGUAGUCCGCACAGUAAACGAUGGAUACUCGCUGUCGGCGAUAUACGGUCGGUGGCCAAGCGAAAGCGUUAAGUAUCCCACCUGGGGAGUACGCCGGCAACGGUGAAACUCAAAUGAAUUGACGGGG